CGGAGUGUAGCUCAGCCUGGUAGAGCACUGUCUUCGGGAGGCAGGGGCCGCGCGUUCGAAUCGCGCCACUCCGACCA
rnacentral:tRNA from 3 species